UACGUAGGUGGCAAGCGUUACUCGGAAUUACUAGGCGUAAAGCGCAGGUAGGUGGUUGGGUCAGUCCAUAACGAAAGCUCCCGGCUUAACUGGGAGAGGUUUAUGGAUACUGCCUGACUGGAGUGUGGGAGAGGUGACUGGAAUUCCCGGUGUAGCGGUGAAAUGCGUAGAGAUCGGGAGGAACACCAACGGCGAAAGCAGGUCACUAGCCCAAUACUGACGCUGAGCUGCGAAAGCUAGGGGAGCAAACAGG
rnacentral:rRNA from 1 species